UCACGAUGUCAAUUUUACGAUAUCUUGCUAAAACAAGCUUUAUUCAUUGGCCAAUUCCUAUGGAACCGGGAAAUAAGCAGCUGUUAUGAAAAUUUACAACGUCAUUAUUAAUAAAGAGACUUUUCAUUGUACAUACAUACCUUUUGUUUCAUAAUUAACACAUUACCAACGGGGCAUUUUUAAGGUAUAUUUCAAUAAAACGAGAAUUCUCGUUUCCCGUCGGUAAUGUGUUCACAGGAAAUCCCUGGAAAAAUCGUGAGAGAAUCCAUCCCUGGAACAGAAGACAAUGGACCUUGUUCGUGCCCUUGUAAAAUUGUAUAAAUUGAUCCGAGAUUAAGGUGGGCAACUAAUGAACUGGCUUGUUCUGAUGUAAGGGUAUCAAUUUGUGCAUCAGAUUGAGCCUAAAAGAUACGUGCCAUCUCGCUAAUUAAUAAAACGCAUUAAAAACAUUUUAUAAUGAAACAAAUGAAGUACCUGCAGCCUUUCUAGUCGUUGAUCCAUGUAUUCAUACAAUGCUAGAGUAGACUGUAUUUGAUGCAUACAAUUUAAAAGAUAUACAGCCAUGUCCACCGUAGGUAAUCUUGAUGCUGUUUCAUUAAUUUCUUGCAAAAGUGGAUCAAUAAUGCACGAUACUAUCUACAAAUAAUUUAGUUCAUAAUUUAUCUCAAAUUAUAUUGAUUUUAUAAAAUAA